UACGGAGGGUGCAAGCGUUAUCCGGAUUCACUGGGUUUAAAGGGUGCGUAGGUGGGUCUGUAAGUCAGUGGUGAAAUCUCCAAGCUUAACUUGGAAACUGCCAUUGAUACUAUAGGUCUUGAAUUAUCUGGAGGUGAGCGGAAUAUGUCAUGUAGCGGUGAAAUGCUUAGAUAUGACAUAGAACACCCAUUGCGAAGGCAGCUCACUACGGAUAUAUUGACACUGAGGCACGAAAGCGUGGGGAGCAAACAGG
rnacentral:rRNA from 1 species